AUUGAACGCUGGCGGCAGGCUUAACACAUGCAAGUCGAGCGGAGAGAGGUAGCUUGCUACUGAUCUUAGCGGCGGACGGGUGAGUAAUGCUUAGGAAUCUGCCUAUUAGUGGGGGACAACACUUCGAAAGGAAUGCUAAUACCGCAUACGUCCUACGGGAGAAAGCAGGGGAUCUUCGGACCUUGCGCUAAUAGAUGAGCCUAAGUCGGAUUAGCUAGUUGGUGGGGUAAAGGCCUACCAAGGCGACGAUCUGUAGCGGGUCUGAGAGGAUGAUCCGCCACACUGGGACUGAGACACGGCCCAGACUCCUACGGGAGGCAGCAGUGGGGAAUAUUGGACAAUGGGCGCAAGCCUGAUCCAGCCACGCCGCGUGUGUGAAGAAGGCCUUAUGGUUGUAAAGCACUUUAAGCGAGGAGGAGGCUACUUUAGUUAAUACCUAGAGAUAGUGGACGUCACUCGCAGAAUAAGCACCGGCUAACUCUGUGCCAGCCGCCGCCGUAAGAC
rnacentral:rRNA from 1 species